rnacentral:antisense_RNA from 1 species
UUCAAUGGUGGCUCAGGCGGGAGCUUCUUCAGAAGCGCCGGGUUCCAAGGUAGCCGGUACUGCUAAUCCCGUCUGGGCUACCACCAAU